UUUAAGCGUGUAGGCUGGUUUUCCAGGCAAAUCCGGAAAAUCAAGGCUGAGGCGUGAUGACGAGGCACUACGGUGCUGAAGCAACAAAUGCCCUGCUUCCAGGAAAAGCCUCUAAGCAUCAGGUAACAUCAAAUCGUACCCCAAACCGACACAGGUGGUCAGGUAGAGAAUACCAAGGCGCUUGAGAGAACUCGGGUGAAGGAACUAGGCAAAAUGGUGCCGUAACUUCGGGAGAAGGCACGCUGACACGUAGGUGAAGUGAUUUACUCAUGGAGCUGAAGUCAGUCGAAGAUACCAGCUGGCUGCAACUGUUUAUUAAAAACACAGCACUGUGCAAACACGAAAGUGGACGUAUACGGUGUGAC
rnacentral:rRNA from 1 species